CUCUAGGGGAGGGAGCGAUGUUCUCUCCUACCGUUCCAGCGCCUCCGAGGCCGUCUGCAAGGUAACAAAGCUAGGAUCCUGUACAGAGAAGGCACCUGAAGGACUAAAACAGAAGGAUGCAGCAAGCUGGAAAGAAUGUUGCUCCAACCUUAAUAAGAACAGGAAAAAGGAUCCUCUACAAAAUUCCUGACUUUUCUUGAACCCAAUAGACAGCUGAGGUUGCGGUGCAACUGAGGAGCCUACAGUCUAAGGAAAGACAGGAGUCUCCCGAGAGAGACGGGCACAAGCACAGGGCACCUGCAGCAGAGCAGAGGAGAGCAAGACGUCAAGCACCACACCAACCGGUAAGAACUUAAACAAAAUUGUUAGCAAAUUACUAAGGCUGAGUGUGGGAGCAUGGGAGAGUAGAGGACCUCUGGAAGAUGCACAAACAAGAGCAGGGUGGCCCAUUCACAGGCCCCUCCCCAUGAACGUCCAUCACUUAUGACCAGGAUUGGGGUAGAUUUGGGGUAGAGCAGGAGAUGUGAGAAAUCUGUCCCUUAGGGGUGUAGGCCCCAAAGAGGAGAGCACAGGUGCUGCAGGAAAGGCACAAAUUCCACCCAAGCCCUCGAUCACUAUAGGAAAAAAAGCCAUAAGCCACUGGGAAAGAGCAGGAAACUGUCAUUUCUAGGACACAGGUAAAGACUCAUGCUGCUGGAGCAAAGAAAAGGAAAACAAGCAUCUACCCUGCAAUGGGGGCAGGAAACCACCCUGGACCCAGAUAUUAGGGGUCUUUGUCAGCUCAGGGAGGGACAGGAUCACAGAGACACAGGGCCUGCCUGAGACAGGCUAGACCAGGACAACAGGGGGUAAGAAGUGACAGAAGUUCACCACUGAUGGAGGACAAGCAUGGAGAGAGAUCCCUUCUGAGGCACAGACCAAUGGGGAAGCCUGAAAGCUGAGGGUGGAGUAGGAACUUUGAGAAAGUUUGCAACACCGCAGUACCCACCCUAAGCACAAGGUGGCACUGAAGGAAAUUGAAGCAGCAGAAGAGACAUGCCCGUUAAAAGGCAUAAAAAUGAUUUACCUCAGUCUCUACUGGUCUACAUAUGAUGCCUGGCAUCCAAUAAAAAAUUACGAGACAUAACCUCCCCACCAAAAAAGAAGAAAUAACUAACUCACUCUAAAGAGAUGAAGCAAUGUACAGAACCAGACUCAGAGAUAACCCAGAUAUUGGAAUCAUCAGACAGGGAAUUUAAAAUAAAUAUGAGUAAGAUGUUAAGUGCUCUAGUGGAAAAGGUGGACAGCAUGCAUGGCCAGAUAGAAAAUCCCAGCAGACAGAUGGAAAGUAUAAGCAAUCGUUAAAUGGGGGGCCGGCUCCGUGGCCAAGUGGUUAAGUUCGCGUGCUCCGCUGCGGCGGCCCAGGGUUCGGAUCCUGGGCACAGACAUGGCACCGCUCGU